rnacentral:tRNA from 1 species
AUCUUUAUAGUAUAUAAGUAUAUUUGACUUCCAAUCAUAAGGACUAUUAACUAAUAGUAAAGAUA